rnacentral:rRNA from 1 species
UUGAAAGGGAAACGAUUGAAGUCAGUCGUACCAGCGGGAAAUCAACCUUUCGAGUGGGGGUUUUGGAGUUUUGAAGAGUGUCAAAACCUUUGAGAUUUCAAAAUAUUCGCUCUUUUGGUGUACUUUCUCGUGGGUAGGUUAACAUCGAUUUUGAUCAUCAUAAAAAGAUUGGAGGAAUGUAGCUUCGAUCUUGUAUUGAAGUGUUAUAGCCUUUGGUAAAUGUGAUGAUUAGGAUCGAGGAUUGCAGCGAAUACCCUUUUGGGCUAUCCGCCUGAUCUCUGAUACGUGGCCUUGGUAUCGAAAGCUUGCUUAUGGUAUUAAGGUAUUACGGUCAAAAGGUUAGAACGGGUUAAAUUCGUUAAGGAUGUUGACGUA